rnacentral:rRNA from 1 species
GAUGAACGCUGGCGGCGUGCUUAACACAUGCAAGUCGAACGGUGAAAGAGAGCUUGCUCUCUGGAUCGGUGGCGAACGGGUGAGUAACACGUGAGCAAUCUGCCCCUGACUCUGGGAUAAGCGCUGGAAACGGCGUCUAAUACCGGAUACGAGCUGCGAAGGCAUCUUCAGCAGCUGGAAAGAACUUCGGUCAGGGAUGAGCUCGCGGCCUAACAGCUAGUUGGUGAGGUAACGGCUCACCAAGGCGUCGACGGGUAGCCGGCCUGAGAGGGUGACCGGCCACACUGGGACUGAGACACGGCCCAGACUCCUACGGGAGGCAGCAGUGGGGAAUAUUGCACAAUGGGCGCAAGCCUGAUGCAGCAACGCCGCGUGAGGGACGACGGCCUUCGGGUUGUAAACCUCUUUUAGCAGGGAAGAAGCGAAAGUGACGGUACCUGCAGAAAAAGCACCGGCUAACUACGUGCCAGCCGCCGCGGUAACAC